UCCGCUCCAAGAAACUGUUUUUAUGAAGAGGCACACAACCAAUAAAAAGGUUUGUGCAUGAAAACCCAAUUUCUACGAUCCACUACUCCAAAAAGAUUUCUACAAUAUUCAAACUUCUCCAUUAUAUGAUUCUCUGCUCCAUGAACUGUAUUUUAUGAA